rnacentral:pre_miRNA from 3 species
GUUUCUGUCUUUGGUUAUCUAGCUGUAUGAGUGUUAAAUACCUGUCAUAAAGCUAGAUAACCGAAAGUAGAAAU